UACGUAGGGGGCAAGCGUUGUCCGGAAUCAUUGGGCGUAAAGCGCGUGUAGGCGGUCCGGUAAGUCCGCUGUGAAAGUCGGGGGCUCAACCCUCGGAUGCCGGUGGAUACUGUCAGGCUUGAGUACGGAAGAGGCGAGUGGAAUUCCUGGUGUAGCGGUGAAAUGCGCAGAUAUCAGGAGGAACACCAAUUGCGAAGGCAGCUCGCUGGGACGUUACUGACGCUGAGACGCGAAAGCGUGGGGAGCAAACAGG
rnacentral:rRNA from 1 species